GGGCUGGUAGAUCAGUUGGUAGAUCGUCACGCUUGCAACGUGAAGGCCCCGAGUUCGAGACUCGGCCAGUCCA
rnacentral:tRNA from 1 species